UACAGAGGUGGCAAGCGUUGUUCGGAAUUACUGGGCGUAAAGGGCGCGUAGGCGGUUCGUUAAGUCCUGUGUGAAAUCCCUCGGCUUAACCGGGGAACUGCGUCCGAUACUGGAUGGCUUGAGUGUGGGAGAGGGAUGCGGAAUUCCAGGUGUAGCGGUGAAAUGCGUAGAUAUCUGGAGGAACACCGGUGGCGAAGGCGGCAUCCUGGACCACGACUGACGCUGAGGAGCGAAAGCCAGGGGAGCAAACGGG
rnacentral:rRNA from 1 species